UACGGAGGGAGCGAGCGUUGUCCGAAGUUACUGGGCGUAAAGCGCGCGUAGGCGGGAAAUUAAGUGAGAAGUGAAAGGCUGGGGCUCAACCCCAUGCAGUGCUCCUCAUACUGGUUUUCUUGAGGGUGGUAGAGAGAAGUGGAAUUCCUGGUGUAGCGGUGAAAUGCGUAGAGAUCAGGAGGAACACCCGUGGCGAAGGCGGCCCCCUGGGUCGGCCCUGACGCUGAGGCGCGAAAGCGUGGGGAGCGAACGGG
rnacentral:rRNA from 1 species